rnacentral:rRNA from 1 species
ACUCCUACGGGAGGCAGCAGUGGGGAAUAUUGCACAAUGGGCGCAAGCCUGAUGCAGCGACGCCGCGUGGGGAUGGACGGCCUCGGGCUUGGUAAACUCCUUUCGCUAGGGACGAAGCUUUUGUGACGGUACCUAGAUAAGAAGCACCGGCUAACUACGUGCCAGCAGCCGCGGUAAUACGUAGGGUGCGAGCGUUGUCCGGAAUUACUGGGCGUAAAGGGCUCGUAGGUGGUUUGUCGCGUCGUCUGUGAAAUUCC